rnacentral:rRNA from 1 species
GACGAACGCUGGCGGCGCGCUUAACACAUGCAAGUCGAACGGAAAGGCCUGCUUUCCCUUGUGGAUUGCGGGUACUCGAGUGGCGAACGGGUGAGUAACACGUGAGUGAUCUGCCCCCAACUUGGGUAUAAGCCUGGGAAACUGGGUCUAAUUCCCGAUAGGACUGCAGGGUGGUGCCUGUGGUGGAAAACGAUUUUCUAGUGGUUGGGGAUGAGCUCGCGGCCUAUCAGCUUGUUGGUGGGGUAAUGGCCUACCAAGGCGGCGACGGGUAGCCGGCCUGAGAGGGUGGACGACCACAUUGGGACUGAGAUACGGCCCAGACUCCUACGGGAGGCAGCAGUGGGGAAUAUUGCACAAUGGGCGGAAGCCUGAGGCAGCGACGCCGCGUGGGGGAUGACGGCCUUCGGGUUGUAAACUCCUUUCGACCGCGAGGAAGCCACCUGGUUGGAAGGGUGGUGACGGUAGUGGUAGAAGAAGCACCGGCUAACUACGUG